CCUACGGGUGGCUGCAGUGAGGAAUAUUGGUCAAUGGGCGGAAGCCUGAACCAGCCAAGUAGCGUGCAGGAUGACGGCCCUACGGGUUGUAAACUGCUUUUAUACGGGAAUAACGCGCCUUACGUGUAGGGCUUUGCAUGUACCGUAUGAAUAAGGACCGGCUAAUUCCGUGCCAGCAGCCGCGGUAAUACGGAAGGUCCGGGCGUUAUCCGGAUUUAUUGGGUUUAAAGGGAGCGUAGGCGGGAUGUCAAGCGUGCUGCGAAAUGUCGGGGCUCAACCCGGGCCUUGCAGGGGGAACUGGCGGGCUUGAGGGCGGGGAGGGCAGGCGGAAUUCGUGGUGUAGCGGUGAAAUGCUUAGAUAGGAGGAAGAACACCGAAUGCGAAGGCGGCUUGCUGCAGCGGAACUGACGCUGAGGCUCGAAAGCGCGGGGAGCGAACAGGAUUAGAUACCCCAGUAGUC
rnacentral:rRNA from 1 species